UGAGACUUUGAAUGUCUGAGUAUCAGAGAAUGUAUUUUUCAAUUCACCUAAAUGUAGCAGAUACUUACAGAGCAUCUACUCUGUGACAGACGUAACUCCUGCCUUCGAGAACUCAUCGUCUGCUAUGAAGGAGAACGUGAGGAUGAGGUCACAGAAAAAUAACUUCAGCACAGGAGGUGGCUCCUGUCUGAAACUGAUGGAAAUAGUGCCAAAGUUAGAACGGUGUCCAAGAAUGGCAAAAAGACCAAGAAACCAUCGGCUUCUUUCAACAGUUUUCAGCUUACAGAUGGGUGAUGAGGCAUGAAGAAGGUGAAGUAUCCAAACUGGAUCCCAAUAUGAACCUGGUUUCAAGUAGAGUUUCUUUAAGACCUGCCACAAGCUUAACCCCCAGCAAGUUACUUCAUCUCCCAUUCCUGGGCAUUUGCAAGCACCGAACCGGAGCCCACGGGAGCAGGAGAGGAGCAGAAGGGCCAUUAUUUGGUUGUGGCCUCCUGGUUAUCAAGGGCCUCACAUACGGCCUUUUGGCAUUAUCUCCAGAUAAGCCUAUACAUGCAGUCAUUAUAUUAGUGCAUGCAUGUCAAGAGCUUUGGUUUAUUAAAAGAUCUUUAAAACACACCACAAUUAAAGUUUUUGUAACUGUUCUGGCAUGUCUCCAUUUCAAAACAUAUGUUCAGAGCGUCAA